AUGGCAGCUCGUAAGGUGGCAACGCUUCAUCCAACGGUUUGUAGGGAAGGUACAUUGAAAACUCCAAUUUCUGAAGGCCCGAACUACAAAUGCCAGAUCUGCAGCAAAACAGGAGCGUAUGCAUAUGUUGUGGCACAUAUGCAAACCCAUGAGAAGACAGCUGUUAAACAUGGAGGAUAUAAAAUGUACAGAUGCCAUGGUGUAUGUUGCAGAAGCCAUCAUUAUCACUGCUGCUAUUGUGCAAGAAUUAUAACUCAGCAAAAUUUAUUUUUGAACCAUGUGCAGAAAUGUGGGUUAGCUGAAGCGUCAGCAGGUCCCUGUGUCUCUGCACCAUCCAGCGUCUGUGAACCAUCCAGCGUCUGUGCCCCAUCCAGCGUCUGUGCCCCAUCCAGCGUCUGUGAACCAUCCAGCGUCUGUGAACCAUCCAGCCUCUGUGAACCAUCCAGCGUCUGUGAACCAUCCAGCGUCUGUGCCCCAUCCAGUGUCUGUGCCCCAUCCAGCGUCUGUGAACCCUCCGGCAUCUCUGCACCCUCCGGCAUCUCUGCACACUCCAGUGCAGCUUCUUAUCCAAAAGUCAUUACACUGUCUAACAGUGAUAACAAACCUACCUCAUCAACUCGAGCCCAAACCACCUGCUCGAGUAACCCAAUAAUAAUUAGGUCAAAGCCCCAAAAAACUACAUGCACAUUCUGCAAUUUAAUUGUUAAUAAAAAAAACAUCAAGAUACACAUUCAAAGAUGUCACUCAACAGCAGAUACAGAUGUAACGGCAAAUCACCAUCUACCAUCCCAAUGCAUAGACCGUAAUAAUGGCAUUUUUGCUGUCAGAAGAAGCUUUUCUGGAUUUGGAAACCCCAUACACGUACAAAAAAGAAAUAUUGGCACUGCCCAUGCUCUAAGCCAAGGAAUUCAUGUCCUCAUAAGUCCAUUGCGAAAUGGCACUUGAACCAGACUCAUCCUGAACUUUUUCUAAAAGUCAGAUGUACAGACAGUGAUGUGUUUGACACAUUUGCAGAAACUUGUCCUCAAGAUGUGCACAGUACUGAGGAAAGACUUCAAUAUCCACCUAAUGGAAACGCUUUGACGGCAAUUGUCCUUUACUUGCUGAACAACAAGAAAUUGCCAGCUGGUCUGCCAAAAGAUGUUUGUUCACCACAGAACAUGGAAACACUCCCCAAGCACCUCAUUCCACUGGAGACUUUUUGCACUGUAUGCCCAGGAAAGAUCCCUCUUUCGGAUCCAAUCUUAAUUACACAGAAAGCGAAAAUUGUCACGUUCACAGGCAUACUGGAAGGUUUGUGUAACUUAAUUGCUAAUUCAUGUUAUAACCUACAGUGAUUCCAUGACUAAUACAGAAUUAUUUUCCUUCCUUAUAGAUGUGACCACAUACUGUAAAAGGUGUGGGUUGUGUGGACAUUUUUACCGAUACCAGGAAUGGGCAGAGGGGCUGCACAAUUUUGAUGACCACACAAUAUUAACACUGCAUCUUUGUCUGUUCUUGAGACAGUCUGUACAGGUAAGCUUCACUUCUACAUUCAUGCAUGCAACUUUAAUGCACCCAUCAUAUUUUUAUAAACGCACGUCUUGUGUGUUUUUUAAUGUACUAUUUUAAUCAUUAUUUUAAACGGGAACGAUGUAGGAAUUUUGAUAAUUCUUUAUAAACAAGCAAGUUUGUUCUUCAUUUAAUAAUUUCAGAAAUGUAACUAUUUUAUUGUGUUUUUGUUCCAAAAGUUUCACCCUGAAAUCCUAGUAAGCAUUCACAAAUGUCAACAGAAAAGCAAACAUGACUUGACAAUCUGUUGUCUAAUUUCAAAUGCUAUUACAGAAUCACACUGCAGUUGGCAGGGCCUUGGACAUCUUAGAACAGACCAACCAAAAAAAGUAUCCAAACCAUGACUCCCUUCUUCAUGGUUAUCUUCACUUUGAAGCGUUGACGGCACAUAAUUACCAUUUUUCAUGUGUGCACUGUGGGGUCCAUCCACCUGUUGUGAUAAUGGACUUGCACAAGAAGGGAGUUUUUAGCAUGCCAGGUAAGAAGUGGUCUUUCUCCUCUUUCAAGUUAAGGCAAGUUGAGCUUUAUUGUCAUUCUGCUACAUAAAUACAGACAUACAACAAUGAAGUAAAACAGUAUAAACCUAUACACAACUAACCUACUGAGAGAUUUUGACUAUAAAUAUACUAUAUAUAAAUGUUUCCCUAGUCAUAAGCUAAAAAAAUAACAUACUGGGGUGUGUUUCCCAAAACCAUAGUUGCUAACCUGUUAGCAACUUAGUUGGUUGGCAAUGGGAGAUUGCAUUGCAAACAACAAAGUUGCUAACUUAGUUAGCAACUAUGGUUUUGGGAAACGCACCCCGGAAUAGUUCAACUUGAAUAGUAAAACAAUGAUUUUGAGCAAAAUGUCUUACAGUGAGCGAUAUUGAGGAUCCCCCACCACAGUUUGAUGGCCACGUUGAUAUUGAAGAAUUCUGGCUAUCUGUUGACCAAGAAAUUAUUUGCAGAGGCUUUUUACAAAGUAAGUUAUAGAUAUGAAAAAGUAUCCUGCAGCCAUAUUUAGAAAUGUUUUCCAAAAGAUCUUUCUCUCUGUUUACAAUGCCCUGUAAUUAUCUGUGUGCAUGCUUUUCUAGUGCCAUGGAUCAUUUUUAUAUUAUUUUAACUGCCAUAAUCAUAAGUGCAAUAACAUUUAAGAAAACUUUUGUUUUUCAUCUAAAAAGGUAACCAUGGGAAUCCAUUUAAAGUUUCACCUUCCUAUUCAAAAUGGGCACCGUGGAUUGGUCCCCUCACCAGAGCCAGCAAUAAAGUACUCAACACUGAGUAUGCCA
ensembl:lncRNA